AGUGAACGCUGGCGGUAGGCCUAACACAUGCAAGUCGAACGGCAGCACAGUAAGAGCUUGCUCUUACGGGUGGCGAGUGGCGGACGGGUGAGGAAUACAUCGGAAUCUACUUUUUCGUGGGGGAUAACGUAGGGAAACUUACGCUAAUACCGCAUACGACCUACGGGUGAAAGCAGGGGAUCUUCGGACCUUGCGCGAUUGAAUGAGCCGAUGUCGGAUUAGCUAGUUGGCGGGGUAAAGGCCCACCAAGGCGACGAUCCGUAGCUGGUCUGAGAGGAUGAUCAGCCACACUGGAACUGAGACACGGUCCAGACUCCUACGGGAGGCAGCAGUGGGGAAUAUUGGACAAUGGGCGCAAGCCUGAUCCAGCCAUACCGCGUGGGUGAAGAAGGCCUUCGGGUUGUAAAGCCCUUUUGUUGGGAAAGAAAAGCAGCAGGUUAAUACCCUGCUGUUCUGACGGUACCCAAAGAAUAAGCACCGACUAACUUCGUG
rnacentral:rRNA from 1 species